UUCAAUUGGGUGGUGCUGGUGGUUUAGCUGGUGAUGAUGGUUCGAUUGACUAAUUGGGUGAUGGUGAUGCUUCGAUUAGGUAUGUGGUGGUUGGUUAUGGGUUUGAUGUUGGUGGUUUGAUGGUUGUGGCAUUGGGGUAAUGGUGGUAUGUUUGAUGUUUCGGGCUCGUGUGUUUGAUGGUGAUGGUGUUAUUCAGCCGGACUCCGUGUACAAAAUAGCACCCUCGCUAUUUAGCGAACCAAGUUUUGGGCUCGCUAUAUUAGACACGCGAGUUCAAUAUUUUUUUACUCAUUGGACUAUAUAAUCUCAUUUAACUUAAUCCCCU
rnacentral:lncRNA from 1 species